rnacentral:miRNA from 1 species
AUUUGAGGAAUAUCGCAACUC